AUUGAACGCUGGCGGAAUGCUUUACACAUGCAAGUCGAGCGGCAGCGCGGGGCAACCUGGCGGCGAGCGGCGAACGGGUGAGUAAUGCAUCGGAACGUGUCCAUGUCGUGGGGGAUGGCCCGGCGAAAGCCGGAUUAAUACCGCAUACGCCCGAGAGGGGAAAGUGGGGGACCGCAAGGCCUCACGCGAUUGGGCCGGCCGAUGUCCGAUUAGCUAGUUGGCGGGGUAAAGGCCCACCAAGGCGAUGAUCGGUGGCUGGUCUGAGAGGAUGCUCAGCCACACUGGGACUGAGACGCGGCCCAGACUCCUACGGGAGGCAGCAGUGGGGAAUUUUGGACAAUGGGGGCAACCCUGAUCCAGCCAUUCCGCGUGAGUGAAGAAGGCCUUCGGGUUGUAAAGCUCUUUUGUCCGGAACGAAACGGAUGACGUGAAUAUCGUCGUCUACUGACGGUACCGGAAGAAUAAGCACCGGCUAACUACGUGCCAGCCGCCGCCGUAA
rnacentral:rRNA from 1 species